GGGAAUGUACUCAAGUGGUUGAAGAGACCAGUCCUGAAAACUGGGAGGCCGUUCAUAGCGGCGCGAGCGUUCGAAGCGCUCCAUUCCCG
rnacentral:tRNA from 1 species